AAUGAGCCUGCGAGUUGUGGUGUCUGGCAAGGUUAAGCAAACGCGAAGCCGUAGCGAAAGCGAGUCUGAAUAGGGCGCUUAGUCAGAUGCUGCAGACCCGAAACGAAGUGAUCUAUCCAUGAGCAAGUUGAAGCUAGUGUAAGAACUAGUGGAGGACUGAACCCAUAGGCGUUGAAAAGCCCCGGGAUGACUUGUGGAUAGGGGUGAAAGGCCAAUCAAACUUCGUGAUAGCUGGUUCUCUCCGAAAUAUAUUUAGGUAUAGCGUUGUGUCGUAAUAUAAGGGGGUAGAGCACUGAAUGGGCUAGGGCAUACACCAAUGUACCAAACCCUAUCAAACUCCGAAUACCUUAUAUGUAAUCACAGCAGUCAGGCGGCGAGUGAUAAAAUCCGUCGUCAAGAGGGAAACAACCCAGACUACCAGCUAAGGUCCCUAAGUCUUACUUAAGUGGAAAACGAUGUGAAGUUACUUAAACAACCAGGAGGUUGGCUUAGAAGCAGCCAUCCUUUAAAGAAAGCGUAAUAGCUCACUGGUCUAGUGAUUUUGCGCGGAAAAUAUAACGGGGCUAAAGUAAGUACCGAAGCUGUAGACUUAGUUUAC
rnacentral:rRNA from 1 species